rnacentral:rRNA from 1 species
GAUUUCUGGCUGACCGCGUAUGGUCGGGCAUCCUCAGGGUGCUCUGUACCAUCGUGCGUUUGCCAUCCUUCCAGAGAGCUGUGCCUACCGGCUCGUACGGCAGGGCGCUGCGAUCUGGAUCGUUUACUUUGAAAAAAUUAGAGUGUUCCAAGCAAGCUUACGCUUUGAAUACAUUAGCAUGGAAUAAUAAUAUAGGACUUCGGUUCUAUUUUGUUGGUUUCUAGGACCGAAGUAAUGAUUGAUAGGGAUAGUUGGGGGUGCUAGUAUUCAGCGGCCAGAGGUGAAAUUCUUGGAUUCGCUGAAGACUAACUACUGCGAAAGCAUU